rnacentral:rRNA from 1 species
AUUGAACGCUGGCGGCAGGCCUAACACAUGCCAGUCGAGCGGAUGAAGGGAGCCUGCUCCUGGAUUCAGCGGCGGACGGGUGAGUAAUGCCUAGGAAUCUGCCUGGUAGUGGGGGAUAACGUCCGGAAACGGGCGCUAAUACCGCAUACGUCCUGAGGGAGAAAGUGGGGGAUCUUCGGACCUCACGCUAUCAGAUGAGCCUAGGUCGGAUUAGCUAGUUAGUGGGGUAAAGGCCUACCAAGGCGACGAUCCGUAACUGGUCUGAGAGGAUGAUCAGUCACACUGGAACUGAGACACGGUCCAGACUCCUACGGGAGGCAGCAGUGGGGAAUAUUGGACAAUGGGCGAAAGCCUGAUCCAGCCAUGCCGCGUGUGUGAAGAAGGUCUUCGGAUUGUAAAGCACUUUAAGUUGGGAGGAAGGGCAGUAAGUUAAUACCUUGCUGUUUUGACGUUACCAACAGAAUAAGCACCGGCUAACUUCGUG